GACGAACGCUGGCGGCGCGCCUAACACAUGCAAGUCGAACGAGAGAGAGGAAGCUUGCUUCCUUAAUCGAGUGGCGAACGGGUGAGUAACGCGUGAGGAACCUGCCUCAAAGAGGGGGACAACAGUUGGAAACGACUGCUAAUACCGCAUAAGCCCACAGCUCGGCAUCGAGCAGAGGGAGAAGGAGUGAUUCGCUUUGAGAUGGCCUCGCGUCCGAUUAGCUAGUUGGUGAGGUAACGGCCCACCAAGGCGACGAUCGGUAGCCGGACUGAGAGGUUGAACGGCCACAUUGGGACUGAGACACGGCCCAG
rnacentral:rRNA from 1 species